ensembl:lncRNA
UGACGACUCCACCCACGAUGAGGCUAUAUGGAAAAACAACUAAACCGAGACGAGCCGAGAUAGGACACGCCCCUUUAAGCUGCGUGCUACAGCGAGGCUAAGCUAGUGGGGGAAAAGUUUCAGUGCAUUCCGUUGAUGUAGACAGCAUGAAAAUGGAAACAAGUAUGCCGGCUCACUGUGCUGCAUACAAUUGCACACUGCGUCGUACGAUUGAGACAAGGAAACUUGGAAUGACUUUUCAUAGGUUUCCCAGAGACUAUGGGUUGAGGAGGAAGUGGAAUUUUGUCGGCUUAGACUUGGUGUCAUUCCAUCAGUGUUAAACUUCCCGACUCGUCUUGGAAGAGUACGUGCCAGAAAGACCACGACCAAGCAGCCUUGAGAUCUUAGGCAGCGUCUCCCUGAGACCAAAGAACUACAGACUUCACAACCUGCUCAAACUCUUGGUACAGGACCUCACCACACGGGUCAAGAAGGUUUCUGUCUCAUUUCUACUCUGAAGCUCACCUUCUCCUGCUCAAACUGCUGACAAAUGUUUCUGCUGCUCUAAAGUCUGGUCUCCAGAACUUCCUAAAAACUCUCAAAGUCUCUUCUGCUGCAGGUUGCUUUGUAGAACUGUUACAGAAAACCUCACUAAACCACGUGGAGGGGCCUCAAGAUAGUCGUCCAAAUGAAACCGAACAAAAACCAAACUAGCACAACCCAAACACUAAAGUCUCCUGCAGCCUACCAGAGAACCUCUGAGAACAGAGAAUCAGGACAGGAACUCUUACCUUCUGGACAACCAACGUUGGUUCUCAAACAAGAAUACAGAAUGUGUCUGACCAAAAACCUCUGAAGACUCACUACAGCCAAGAUAAAGACACAACUCAGCUGCACCAAAUCCACUAAUCACUGCACACAUUAGCACCAUGUGCUAACUGUGGCUAAAGAACCGCAUUUACCAAGACAACUAUCCAGUACAAAGCCCUAAAACACACCAAGAAACACAUUAAAGACGAUUUUACUGCUGGAAGCUGCAAGCCAACGCCUAAAGAACAAACUAGAGAAACGGAGCCAAACCCGGUUCAGUGGUGAAUAGAAGCAGAGGAAAUGUUUGUCUGCAGCUAAAUAAAGCAGGAAGACACUGAGCUGCUCAGGUGUUCCUGAUAACACCAAGCAGCCACCUGGGCAGCCAAUAGGAACACAGCUUACUGGAAGUCCAGAGGGCUGGCUUAGUGAAGGAAAUUUAAUUUAAAGUUGAAGCAGAAAGUUAACAAAGAAAGUUGAAAACCACCUUCUGAUACCUGAAAUCUCUGAGUUUUCACUGCAGCCUUCAACUGGCUCCUGCUGACAAAGUGUUUUAACAGAAAUGUAAAUGCUGUAAUUUGAUUCUUUUAAUGAACCAUGUAACUUGAAUGGAUGUGAUGCUGGUGUGACCACAGUGCACACAU